rnacentral:lncRNA from 1 species
GAAGAGUCAACUAGCCAUUGGGAGUGUCGGACGUCCGAUACUCCUGUUUUUUGCGUCCGACAACAGGCAAUGAAUUUGAGAAAUUUUCUGCAAUUCUAUCAGACCUUCGAUGCUUACGUCCGAAAGCAGACAAUGAGUUAGAAGGAAUUUCUCAAUUCUAUCGAACGUCCAAUAUUGUCUUUGUGAGCGUCCGAUAGCUUUCAUCGAGUUUGAAGGAUCCUAUCGGACGUCCG